UGCUAGAAGAUGACGAGUGGCGGACGGGUGAGUAAUGCUUGGGAACUUGCCUUUGCGAGGGGGAUAACAGUUGGAAACGACUGCUAAUACCGCAUAAUGUCUUCGGACCAAACGGGGCUUCGGCUCCGGCGCAAAGAGAGGCCCAAGUGAGAUUAGCUAGUUGGUAAGGUAACGGCUUACCAAGGCGACGAUCUCUAGCUGUUCUGAGAGGAAGAUCAGCCACACUGGGACUGAGACACGGCCCAGACUCCUACGGGAGGCAGCAGUGGGGAAUAUUGCACAAUGGGGGAAACCCUGAUGCAGCCAUGCCGCGUGUGUGAAGAAGGCCUUCGGGUUGUAAAGCACUUUCAGUUGUGAGGAAAAGUUAGUAGUUAAUACCUGCUAGCCGUGACGUUAACAACAGAAGAAGCACCGGCUAACUCCGUGCCAGCAGCCGCGGUAAUACGGAGGGUGCGAGCGUUAAUCGGAAUUACUGGGCGUAAAGCGCACGCAGGCGGUUUGUUAAGCUAGAUGUGAAAGCCCCGGGCUCAACCUGGGAUGGUCAUUUAGAACUGGCAGACUAGAGUCUUGGAGAGGGGAGUGGAAUUCCAGGUGUAGCGGUGAAAUGCGUAGAUAUCUGGAGGAACAUCAGUGGCGAAGGCGACUCCCUGGCCAAAGAC
rnacentral:rRNA from 1 species